CUUAAGGCGCCUGUUUCGGCGCUGCCACAGGGUGGCCCCCCAGCAAGGCCCAGAGCAGCCCGUGGCGCCAGUUCUGCGGUUCCACAUCCCUUCCCCAGGGCUGCUCGAGGAUGAGCAAUUCUACAUCCUCGGGGUCAUCCAGAGCUGCCAGGCAGCUGAGCUCAGGGGGCUGCGAACCCUGAAGUGCUCCAAGCAGGAGACGGCCAAAGCCAUUCUGGACAUCUUGGGGCCCUUGGAGCACUUCAGGGAUCGCCCCCUGACCCUGGCCCUUGCCUUGGAGGCCCUCCUCCAGCUGAG